UACGUAGGGGGCAAGCGUUGUCCGGAUUUAUUGGGCGUAAAGAGCGUGUAGGCGGCCAGGUAGGUCAGCUGUGAAAGCUCGAGGCUCAACCUCGAGAUGUCGGCUGAAACCAUCUGGCUAGAGUCCGGAAGAGGAGAAUGGAAUUCCCGGUGUAGCGGUGAAAUGCGCAGAUAUCGGGAAGAACACCCGUGGCGAAGGCGGUUCUCUGGGACGGUACUGACGCUGAGACGCGAAAGCGUGGGGAGCGAACAGG
rnacentral:rRNA from 1 species